CGAGCGGACUGAUGGGAGCUUGCUCCCUGAGGUUAGCGGCGGACGGGUGAGUAACACGUGGGCAACCUGCCUGUAAGACUGGGAUAACUCCGGGAAACCGGGGCUAAUACCGGAUAACCCGUUCCACCUCAUGGUGGAGCGGUAAAAGAUGGCCUCUGGCUAUCACUUACAGAUGGGCCCGCGGCGCAUUAGCUAGUUGGUAAGGUAAUGGCUUACCAAGGCGACGAUGCGUAGCCGACCUGAGAGGGUGAUCGGCCACACUGGGACUGAGACACGGCCCAGACUCCUACGGGAGGCAGCAGUAGGGAAUCUUCCGCAAUGGACGAAAGUCUGACGGAGCAACGCCGCGUGAGUGAUGAAGGUUUUCGGAUCGUAAAGCUCUGUUGUUAGGGAAGAACAAGUGCCGUUUGAAUAAGGCGGCACCUUGACGGUACCUAACCAGAAAGCCACGGCUAACUACGUGCCAGCAGCCGCGGUAAUACGUAGGUGGCAAGCGUUGUCCGGAAUUAUUGGGCGUAAAGCGCGCGCAGGCGGUCUCUUAAGUCUGAUGUGAAAGCCCACGGCUCAACCGUGGAGGGUCAUUGGAAACUGGGAGACUUGAGUACAGAAGAGGAGAGUGGAAUUCCACGUGUAGCGGUGAAAUGCGUAGAUAUGUGGAGGAACACCAGUGGCGAAGGCGACUCUCUGGUCUGUAACUGACGCUGAGGCGCGAAAGCGUGGGGAGCAAACAGGAUUAGAUACCCUGGUAGUCCACGCCGUAACGAUGAGUGCUAUGUGUUAGGGGUUUCGAUGCCCUUAGUGCCGAAGUUAACACAUUAAGCACUCCGCCUGGGGAGUACGACCGCAAGGUUGAAACUCAAGGAAUUGACGGGGGCCCGCACAAGCAGUGGAGCAUGUGGUUUAAUUCGAAGCAACGCGAGAACCUUACCAGUCUUGACAUCCUUUGACCACUCUAGAGAUAGAGCUUC
rnacentral:rRNA from 2 species